UAGUAGAAUUCGUUCUCCAUGUCGCUCAAGUUCUUGUGCGUCCUCUCUGACCACCAGUGGGCGUCGGCCUCGAAGUCGUAGCGCACGAACACCCCGAAGAGAAUCACCAUAAUCACCUGCAGGAGCAGGCAGGGCACAUGAGAAACAAGGAAUGUUUGGGACACUGUCACACAACAGAGCGGCCUGGGGAGACAUCUGUGAUGUGCUACCCCAGACUUGACCC
rnacentral:lncRNA from 10 species